rnacentral:rRNA from 1 species
AGCGAACGCUGGCGGCAGGCCUAACACAUGCAAGUCGAGCGGGCAUAGCAAUAUGUCAGCGGCAGACGGGUGAGUAACGCGUGGGGAGGGACCUUUUGGUUCGGAACAACUUAUGGAAACUUCAGCUAAUACCGGAUAAGCCGUUACGGGGAAAGAUUUAUCGCCGAAAGAUCGGGCCGCGUCUGAUUAGCUAGUUGGUGAGGUAAUGGCUCACCAAGGCGACGAUCAGUAGCUGGGCUGAGAGGAUGAUCAGCCACAUUGGGACUGAGACGCGGUCCAAACUCCUACAGGAGGCAGCAGUGCGGAAUAUUGGACAACGGGCGCAAGGCUGAUCCAGCCAUGCCGGGUGAGUGAUGAAGGCGCUAGAGUUGUAAAGCUCUUUUGUGCGGGAAGAUAAUGACGGUACCGAAAGAAUAAGCCCCGGCUAACUUCGUG